GACGAACGCUGGCGGCGUGCUUAACACAUGCAAGUCGAACGGAAAGGCCCUGCUUUUGUGGGGUGCUCGAGUGGCGAACGGGUGAGUAACACGUGAGUAACCUGCCCUUGACUUUGGGAUAACUUCAGGAAACUGGGGCUAAUACCGGAUAGGAGCUCCUGCUGCAUGGUGGGGGUUGGAAAGUUUCGGCGGUUGGGGAUGGACGCGCGGCUUAUCAGCUUGUUGGUGGGGUAGUGGCUUACCAAGGCUUUGACGGGUAGCCGGCCUGGGAGGGUGACCGGCCACAUUGGUACUGAGAUACGGCCCAGACUCCUACGGGAGGCAGCAGUGGGGAAUAUUGCACAAUGGGCGGAAGCCUGAUGCAGCAGCGCCGCGUGCGGGAUGACGGCCUUCGGGUUGUAAACCGCUUUCGCCUGUGACGAAGCGUGAGUGACGGUAAUGGGUAAAGAAGCACCGGCUAACUACGUG
rnacentral:rRNA from 1 species